rnacentral:rRNA from 1 species
UACGAAGGGGGCAAACGUUGCUCGGAAUCAUUGGGCGUAAAGCGCACGUAGGCGGCUUCGCAAGUCGGAUGUGAAAUCCCUCGGCUCAACCGAGGACGUGCAUACGAAACUGCGGAGCUUGAGUGCUGAAGAGGAUCGCGGAAUUCCCGGUGUAGAGGUGAAAUUCGUAGAUAUCGGGAGGAACACCAGUGGCGAAGGCGGCGAUCUGGGCAGACACUGACGCUGAGGUGCGAAAGCGUGGGGAGCAAACAGG